GACCCCCACAUACUCGUAGUUUGACAACUGCAGAAUCUCCCAGUCUCACAUCUUUUUUUAAAAUCAAUUUUUUUGCGUUUUACUUUUUUUUUUGCAGGGGGAGCUAAUCCUCAUGUUUUGUGGAAAACACAUAUUGAAGGUGGACCCCCACAUACUCGCAGUUUGGCAU